CAAAGAUUAAGCCAUGCAUGUCUAAGUACAGGCCUAACUAAGGCGAGACCGCGAAUGGCUCAUUAAAUCAGUUAUGGUUCCUUAGAUCGUACCUUUCUACUUGGAUAACUGUGGUAAUUCUAGAGCUAAUACAUGCACUCCAGCUCCGACUUGUGGCGUCGUUUCGGCGGCGUUGCGGGGAAGAGCGCUUUUAUUAGAUCAAAACCAAUCGACCUUUCGAGGUCGUGCCUCUUGGUGACUCUGAAUAACUUUGUGCGGAUCGCACGGUCACGUACCGGCGACGCAUCUUUCAAAUGUCUGCCUUAUCAGCUUUCGAUGGUAAUUUCUAUGAUUACCAUGGCAAUAACGGGUAACGGGGAAUCAGGGUUCGAUUCCGGAGAGGGAGCCUGAGAAACGGCUACCACAUCUAAGGAAGGCAGCAGGCACGCAAAUUACCCACUCCCGGCACGGGGAGGUAGUGACGAAAAAUAACAAGACGGGACUCUACCGAGGCCUCGCCAUUGGAAUGAGUACAAUUUAAAUCCUUUAACGAGGAUCUAUUGGAGGGCAAGUCUGGUGCCAGCAGCCGCGGUAAUUCCAGCUCCAAUAGCGUAUAUUAAAGUUGUUGCGGUUAAAAAGCUCGUAGUUGGAUCUCAGUGUUAGACGAUCGGUCCGCCGCCCGGCGCGACUGAUCGUACUGCACCGUCCGCCGUUGCAGUCUCCAGUGCUCUUCAUUGAGUGUUGGACGAUUGCCGGUACGUUUACUUUGAAAAAAUUAGAGUGCUUCAAGCAGGCGUUUCCGCCUGAAUAUCUGUGCAUGGAAUAAUGGAAUAGGACCUCGGUUCUAUUUUGUUGGUUUUCGGGACUCGAGGUA
rnacentral:rRNA from 1 species